AAACCCGCUUUCUCACUUCUUUGCUUGUUCUUUGUUUUAGCUUCCAUGGCAAGUUGUGACCUCGUCUAUGAAGUUGAAGAUUUUGAUCUCUUUGAAAUCCCUUGCCACAAAUCUCACACAAGAAUCUGUUUGUUGCCAUUAGUGUCUUUGGAGAUAACGCGAUUACUUCUGCUUCAGGAUCUGCAAAAUUUAUUUGUGAAACAUAAUUAGGUACUGUGAUAAGAACUCGCUUUAGGCCCCCUAUGAGCUUGAGUCGCCUCUGUCCCAGACUCUAGAUUUAAACUAAAAGUAAUUAAAAAGUAAAAAUCAAUACGAUAGUCGGGAGUGAGUGUUGCAUGCCUGGAGUGCCAGGAAGAUUUCGUUUUCUCUUGAUUGUAGGAGGAUUGGAAGAAGGUGGUAGAAGAUUGUUGACAUGAGUAGUGAAACCAUUUUGGAUUAUGUCUUCUGUUACAAGCUUCUCUAACAUCUUUGACUCUUUUGUUAAUCUUGUUAUUGUUGUUGUUGAUAUUCAAUUCUUUGGUUGUGCUCUCAAAUAAUAUAUAUUUUCAAAGUAUAGAUCUUGCACUA